rnacentral:lncRNA from 1 species
UCUCAUCUGCUCAUCCUAAUUCUAUUUCCAGCUCUUCUUCUAGGUAUACCCAGUCCUCCAUUGCUGCUGGAUCAUUACAGGUGGCACCCAAACAAGGGGCCUGAACACUGGGACACCAACUGAAGGACACUGUCUUCGACGGACCUGCAUAGAAAACGGUAGAAGUUAUAUAUCCUGCAUGGUGGUUGGUUGCCUACACACAGGAUUGCCUUCAGUAAAGCUCAGUUAUUCACCAUGGCAGUUAUUCAUCGCUAUGAAGACAUGCAUUGAGUGCAUAUUCAUAUGCCCUUUGAGGCUUUGAGCUGAAUGGGAAAAGGGGUAUCCAGAGGCUGCUACACACAGGACUGGAAGAAUGAAGCAGGGUCUGGAAUGGGCAGGAUCUUGGACUGGCUGGAAGUGACUAAAACAUGGAAGAACUCACUUAUGAGUGUGUUUGGAAGAAGACAUGAGGCAGACAUCUGCCUGUUGGAGUAGAUGAAGCCCUCUCUUUUGGCAUCUGUGACCAUGGUUUCUCAACAGCUGAGUCUAAGCCAAAGUACAACUCAGAAAAUGGACACAUCUUCUCUUCUCAUUUAAACAUAUUAGAAUGGCACCUUCUGGGCUCAGCACACACCUCUGGUAUUCCAGCAUUUGGGCAGUAGAGACAGGAGACUUAAGAAUUCAAGGUUGUUUUUGGCUACAUAGCAAGUUCAAGGCCAACUUGGACUAUAGGAGACCGUGUCUCAAAAUCCAAAACAAGAACAACAACAACCACCACCACCACCACCACCACACCCCCCCACACCCCAUACCCACAUACACCCACACCCACAUACACACUUAAAACAUGAAACCCUCAAACCCAAAAAAACAAACAAAAAAAAAAACCUAGCAAACAAAACACCAGUUUAGAUGCAAACGGAUAAUUCAAGACAGAGAAUGCUAAUGUGCUAAGGCAGGAAACUGCAUAUUUAUAAGGCAUAGGAGAUGCUGCUUCUGUGGAGCAGAAUAUGCAGCCCCGAGGGGCUGUACAAGAAGGCUGAGGAUCAAUCAUGGUUAUAGAAUAGAAAAUUUGCUCAAAAGCCUGUGGCUGGUAAGGUCUUAGGCCAUAGUGAGGAAACUAAUGUUUUUGCUAAGUGGACAUGAACUGUCUUGUAACUAUCUAUGUUUAUGACUAUAGAUCAGUCGUUUGUGUCAGAUUUGAUUGGAUAAUCUUCUUUUGCAGUAGGCAGCAGUAUCAGCAGGGACUUAAACUGGUAUAAGUAUUAAGAAUAAAUGACUGUGGAAUACCCAGUAUUUGAUGAACCAGGCGAAUCACUGUAUCUAAGGCUUUUGGAACAUUGAAGAAGGGGACGAAAGAAUGCUUGACCUGGAGAUGGAGCACUGACCUCUAGGCACGACAGUUAUUACACUCCUGAAUUCACAGCAGCUCAGAUCUCCACAUAAGACAGGACCCUCCCAAUAUCUUGUAGAAAACAGAGGCUCACAGGGUCUUAGCCUUCCCUGAGCAUUUAUUACCCAGUUAAUAGUUGAUGGGAAGAAGAGACCUUUUUGUCAGUAGUAUGGCAACUGGCAAGGUGUGCACACUCCUUUAGACAACCCUUCAUCCAUGAACGCGCCAGUAACACCAAUUAAACUCACUGGCACAUAUACACGCACACUUUCACUCCACCCACACAGGUAUACACACAUGCACAUAUAUAUAUAUAUAUAU